rnacentral:rRNA from 1 species
CAGCAGCCGCGGUAAUACAGAGGGUGCGAGCGUUAAUCGGAUUUACUGGGCGUAAAGCGUGCGUAGGCGGCUUCUUAAGUCGGAUGUGAAAUCCCUGAGCUUAACUUAGGAAUUGCAUUCGAUACUGGGAAGCUAGAGUAUGGGAGAGGAUGGUAGAAUUCCAGGUGUAGCGGUGAAAUGCGUAGAGAUCUGGAGGAAUACCGAUGGCGAAGGCAGCCAUCUGGCCUAAUACUGACGCUGAGGUACGAAAGCAUGGGGAGCAAACAGGAUUAGAUACCCGCGUAGUCCCUGUCCUUAUACC